CACAAGAGGUCCUACCACCAGUACGAGGGCAGAAGCCAGUUUAGUUGAUUUUGUGUUGUUUUUAUUUCGUUCAUGCUAUUGUAGAUAUAACUGUUUGAUAAUUAUUUCGUUGUUAUUAAGUUUUGACCACUAAAAGAACAGUGUUGUGCAGUCAAACACUAGAGUUUGUAGUACGCCUACAAGAUUACUUUGAAAGAGAGUAUCAGAAUGGUGGUCCAUUGAUGUCACUUUCACAAAUGACGAACCGAGUAAGUGCAGCUCUUGGUAUUUAGUCGAAAAACUGUUUCCCGAAUAAGUAAGGAAAAACAUGGUAAAGAUUUAACGGAAGAUAAAUUAAAAUCGCCAAUUAAGAAAAAAGUUAGAAGAUCAAUGGUUACACAUAUCAGCAACUUUGAUGACGCCAUUAUAAACCAUAUCUAUGGCUACUAUAGUAGGAACGAAGUGCAGACUCUGAUUAAAUUGUCAAAUACUUUACGAGAAUCUGGACUAUUUCACGGUAGUAGAAUUUCUUUGUGGCGAGUUUUAAAAAAGUUAGCUUUCAUAACGUGUAAUAAAAUGCGGAUUUUGAUGGAAUGUAGAGAUAUAGCUUUAGCCAGAUGUAAUUUUCUAAGAUCUGCAAAGUCCAUUACCGUUUGGAAUAAUGUUAUAUUUCUAGAUGAGACGUGUCUAAAUGCUAAACACACAGUCGGCAGGAUAAGGACAGACGACACUCCUCACUCCUCCACAAAAGUACCUAGUGGCAAAUGCAAAUGCUUAUUUAUUUGUCAUGCGGGUUCCAUGAAGGGAUUUCUUCCGAACUGCCUCUUGACGUUUAAAUCUAAGAAAACUGUGGAAUACCACGAAGAGAUGAAUUUUGUUAAAUAUAUAAAGAACGGUUACAGGUUAAGGAAGGUACAAACCUUAUUGACCAAUUUAAAUGAGCCAUCGACGAUCAUUAUGGAUAAUGCACCGUAUCAUUCAGUACAAAUAUGUAAGCCUCCAACUUCUAGUAGCACAAAAGCGGCUCGUAAAAAUACCAGCCCACCGUUUACUGCAAACAAAAUGCUGUCAUUGUUGCAAGAAGCUUGUGAAGUUUAAGCAAAAAUAUGUGAUAUCCCUAGGUUUUCAAGGUGGGUGGUGCAUAUGUAGAUGUCUAUGGGCUCCAGUAACCACUUAACACCAGGUGGGCUGUGAGCUCGUCCACACAUCUAAGCAAUAAAAAAAUACUUAACUAAGUUAUAUUUAGUUGGGAAAUGAUCCCCGACAGAUUUUUCCUGUAAGUUUUGAGGCAAUUAGAAAAAACAUAAUAAUAUAUAAAACGCUUAUAAAACAUACAUAUAUGUUGUAAAUGAAUCAAGAUGGAGAAAAGUUGUUCAGAUGAGACAGCAUCGUGUUUGAUGUGAUAAAAUGAAAUAACCUCCCACUUCCCAGUAAGAUGACGGCCAAUUACUUUAUUUAAUGUACUUACUUUAAUUACUUUAUUUAAUGAUGUGCAUGUAACAUUUCUAAUAGUUUUUUUUUCACAGUACUUAAUUAUCAACGUCGAUCAUUUAACAGUGAUGUUACACACGAAAUGUAUUAACAAAGCAAGGAGGGCAGGCAUAAUCAAAGGUAAUCCAAUUUUAGGACGAGUACAUAAUCGAUUUGUUUUUGGAAAAAAUAUUCUUAAAGCCCUAAAAAUAAGAGUUAAAAAUGUUUGUAUUCCACGUGUGCGGUUUUAUAGAUUUUAUGAAAAUAUGGAUAUUUCAAGAUAUGUGGAUAUUGAAAACAGGAAAGGCGGUCAUAUGUGUUUGUAGCUGUCAGUCAAGUAUGAAAGGUUUCUUACUUUAAGAUUUGAUUUAAGAGAACGAUGUCCGGUGCUUGAGGUACCUAAAAGCACCGUUAAUGGAUCGGGAGGAUCCGAAAUGACGUGAUGAGAAAACGAGCAGUCGUUUUUACCUUAAAAAAAAUCUGUUUACGAGCGUCGGACACUAGAUGGCUUGUUAUUAGUUUCUCAUUACUCCUAUAGAUGGCAGUAAUUUAAUUUAAUACCUAUCUUUUAGAUAUAAUGAAGGAUUUUACAAAAAAGUAUGUUUCUUUAAACAAUUAGAAUUUAUAUAAAUGAUGAAUGGGUCGUUUCUCUUAUACCAGGACUCCCCAUUAGAAAAUUUGAUUUAAGGAUGGAAAAUAAAGAAAACCACUCUACUACAUACCACAAAAGAAGUUUCACUUCUUUCACGUGCAUCAAGUUGCAAGCGCACCAUUUAUUUAUAACAAACAGUACCACGUAAACUAUCAUAAUUGCAAUCUGUCAAUGAAAGUUUGAGAAAUAAUAACUGGAGAUAUAUGUAGUACAUAUUUAGUGAAGUAAGUUACUAAAAAUAAUUCAACUUGGGGCAGGCAUUUACUUUUUACAUACGGUUAGAGUCUGUGCGCGUUUUGCAUUUCAAUUAAAACAAAAUGCAAGAGGGUUUUAAUUUAUUUUCAAGCCUAUCAAUUACAUGUUAUUUAAGGGAAAACCAUUUUUGUUGUUUUCUCUAUUGAUUCUUUGUGGUUCCCGUCUGAUACUAUGUAGUUAUGUACAUACUACUAGAAACCGUUACAAGAUUUGAUCAAAAUUCAUGAUACUAUUUUAUUUUUUAUUUGAUUCCUGAAAAAAAAUGACUUAUCACAACCUUUUUCAUUCUUGUUUGCUACUCGAGAUCCAAAUUGUAGAGCUCUUUUGGGAAACGUAGAGACUUCCAUCAAACCAAUAUUAUAAGCUACGAGUCUCAGCAUUAAUUUGUCGCCUAAGCCAUGGCCCAAAUGUUUACUUGGAAAACAUCUGAAAAAUGUAUAUUACAUUUAAUUUUAUGCUUUUCUUACAAAUAAAAUACAUGUCAUAAAAAAAUCACAUCCUUUACUAGGUAAACGUCUUGAAAUAUGUGACUAUUAGAGUCUUGCUCUAUAAGGGUUUACUUUUUAAAACUGUAAUUUUAAAUAACUGCAUAUUUUACAGAUCCUCACAUAUUAUAAUGAGACCUACUAUACACCUUUCAUUUGGGUGCUCUAAUUUCCUGUGCUGUCAUUGAAAUGCUUAUCAGAUAUCUAAUACCAUGUUAUAUAUUAUAGUAAUAGAUGCUCUGCUUAGAUGUACUGAUUGAUGUAUUAUAUCAUUACUACCACUUACUUUAACCAAGGUUUUAAAUGGAUAACAAAUUCAGCAAAUUCUUCAUCUAGAUAGGGCAUUCUGGGUUGUCGACCAUGAUCACAAAUAACUCUGUUAUCCCGAGCUAAAUUUCUGUAUGGGAUCCUUUCCCAAUCUAAUUGUAAUUCUUUACAUAGACCAGCCCAUCCUAACCGUUUAAAAACAGCCCUGUGUCUUGUGUAUCCACCAAAUAAUUCAUCUGCACCAGUACCACUAAAUAAAACCUUAAAAUGUAACAUAUAAAUGAUUACAUUUAAAUCCAAUAUUAUUAAUUUUUUUUAGAAAUAAAAA